GCCUGGGUGGCUCAGUGGUUGAGCGCCUGCCUUUGGCUCAGGUAGUGAUCCUGAGAUCCUGGGAUACAGUCCCACAUCAGGCU
rfam:Canis lupus familiaris chromosome 9, whole genome shotgun sequence.